rnacentral:tRNA from 1 species
GCUCAGGUUAUGGUUCAGUGGUAGAAUGCUUGCCUAACAUGCAUGAGUCAAUGAGUUCAAAGUCUGAUCCCCAGCA